rnacentral:rRNA from 1 species
AAACUCCCAAACCAUUGUGAACAUACCUUCAACGUUGCUUCGGCGGGUUGGCCCCGGUCUCCGGGGUCCCCGGCCCUACUCGGGCGCCCGCCGGAGGUAUCUAACUCUUGAACUUUUAUGGCCUCUCUGAGUCUUUGUACUUAAUAAGUCAAAACUUUCAACAACGGAUCUCUUGGUUCUGGCAUCGAUGAAGAACGCAGCGAAAUGCGAUAAGUAAUGUGAAUUGCAGAAUUCAGUGAAUCAUCGAAUCUUUGAACGCACAUUGCGCCCGCCAGUAUUCUGGCGGGCAUGCCUGUUCGAGCGUCAUUUCAACCAUCAAGCCCCCGGCUUGUGUUGGGGACCUGCGGCUGCCGCAGGCCCUGAAAACCAGUGGCGGGCUCGCUAGUCACUCCGAGCGUAGUAAUACAUCUCGCUCAGGGCGUGCUGCGGGUUCCGGCCGUUAAAAAGCCUUAUUUACCCAAGGUUGACCUCG